GACGAACGCUGGCGGCGUGCUUAACACAUGCAAGUCGAACGGAAAGGCCCUGCUUGCAGGGUACUCUAGUGGCGAACGGGAGAGUAACCCGUGGGUGAUCUGCCCUGCACUUCGGGAUACGCCUGGGAAACUGGGUCUAAUACCGGAUAGAAGCCAUUUUUAGUGUGAUGGUUGGAAAGUUUUUUCGGUGUAGGAUGAGCUCGCGGCCUAUCAGCGUGUUGGUGGGGUAAUGGCCUACCAAGGCGGCGACGGGUAGCCGGCCUGAGAGGGUGGACGGCCACAUUGGGACUGAGAGACGGCCCAGACGCCGACGGGAGGCAGCAGUGGGGAAUAUUGCACAAUGGGCGCAAGCCUGAUGCAGCGACGCCGCGUGGGGGAUGACGGCCUUCGGGUUGUAAACUCCUUUCGCUAGGGACGAAGCUUUUUGUGACGGUACCUAGAUAAGAAGCACCGGCUAACUACGUG
rnacentral:rRNA from 1 species